GAUGAACGCUGGCGGCGUGCCUAAUACAUGCAAGUCGAGCGAACAGACGAGGAGCUUGCUCCUCUGACGUUAGCGGCGGACGGGUGAGUAACACGUGGAUAACCUACCUAUAAUACUGGGAGAACUUCGGGAAACCGGAGCUAAUGCCGGAUAAUAUAUUGAACCGCAUGGUUCAAUAGUGAAAGACGGUUUUGCUGUCACUUAUAGAUGGAUCCGCGCCGCAUUAGCUAUUUGGUAAGGUAACGGCUUACCAAGGCGACGAUGCGUAGCCGACCUGAGAGGGUGAUCGGCCACACUGGAACUGAGACACGGUCCAGACUCCUACGGGAGGCAGCAGUAGGGAAUCUUCCGCAAUGGGCGAAAGCCUGACGGAGCAACGCCGCGUGAGUGAUGAAGGUCUUCGGAUCGUAAAACUCUGUUAUUAGGGAAGAACAAAUGUGUAAGUAACUAUGCACGUCUUGACGGUACCUAAUCAGAAAGCAACGGCUAACUACGUG
rnacentral:rRNA from 1 species